UCAAUUAUAGAAGGUCUAGCCUGCUCAAUGAUUUAUUAAAUAGCCGCAGUAAAUUGACUGUGCGAAGGUAGCAUAAUCAUUAGUUUUUUAAUUGAAAGCUUGUAUGAAGGGUAUUACGAGGAAAAUACUGUCUCUUGUUUAUAAGUUGAAUUUUAUUUGUAAGUGAAAAAGCUUAUAUAAUUCUAAAAGACGAGAAGACCCUAUAAAGCUUUAUAUUUAAUUUGAUAUUAAAGUUUAAGUUUAUUAUUUUUUGUAUUAUUUAAAGUAUUUAAUUGGGGAAAUUAAAAGAUUUAAUUAAUUCUUUUUUUUAUAUAAUUAUUUAUAGAUGUUUAAUUGAUCCAUUAUUAAUGAUCAUAAGAUUAAGUUACUUUAGGGAUAACAGCGUAAUUUUUUUUGAGAGUUCUUAUCGAUAAAGAAGUUUGCGACCUCGAUGUUGGAUUAAAAUAAAUUUUAGGUGUAGAAGCUUGAA
rnacentral:rRNA from 1 species